UACGGAGGGGGCUAGCGUUGUUCGGAAUUACUGGGCGUAAAGCGCACGUAGGCGGCUUUGUAAGUUAGAGGUGAAAGCCCAGGGCUUAACCCUGGAAUUGCCUUUAAGACUGCAUCGCUUGAAUCGUGGAGAGGUGAGUGGAAUUCCGAGUGUAGAGGUGAAAUUCGUAGAUAUUCGGAAGAAAACCAGGGGCGAAGGCGACUCACUGGACACGUAUUGACGCUGAGGUGCGAAAGCGUGGGGAGCAAACAGG
rnacentral:rRNA from 1 species